GACGAAGGAUGCAAGCGUUAUCCGGAUUCAUUGGGUUUAAAGGGCGCGUAGGUGGCCUUAUAAGUCAGUGGUGAAAUCUCGAGGCUUAACCUCGAAAUUGCCAUUGAUACUGUAGGGCUUGAGUAUAGUUGCCGUUGGCGGAAUAUGACAUGUAGUGGUGAAAUACAUAGAGAUGUUAUAGAACACCGAUUGCGAAGGCAGCUAACGAAACUAUAACUGACACUGAGGCUCGAAAGUGCGGGGAUCAAACAGG
rnacentral:rRNA from 1 species